rnacentral:rRNA from 1 species
GCUCAACCGUGGAGGGUCAUUGGAAACUGGGAAACUUGAGUGCAGAAGAGGAAAGUGGAAUUCCAUGUGUAGCGGUGAAAUGCGCAGAGAUAUGGAGGAACACCAGUGGCGAAGGCGACCUUCUGGUCUGUAACUGACGCUGAUGUGCGAAAGCGUGGGGAUCAAACAGGAUUAGAUACCCUGGUAGUCCACGCCGUAAACGAUGAGUGCUAAGUGUUAGGGGGUUUCCGCCCCUUAGUGCUGCAGCUAACACAUUAAGCACUCCGCCUGGGGAGUACGACCGCAAGGUUGAAACUCAGAGGAAUUGACGGGGACCCGCACAAGCGGUGGAGCAUGUGGUUUAAUUCGAAGCAACGCGAAGAACCUUACCAAAUCUUGACAUCCUUUGACCACUCUAGAGAUAGAGCUUUCCCCUUCGGGGGACAAAGUGACAGGUGGUGCAUGGUUGUCGUCAGCUCGUGUCGUGAGAUGUUGGGUUAAGUCCCGCAACGAGCGCAACCCUUAAGCUUAGUUGCCAUCAUUAAGUUGGGCACUCUAGGUUGACUGCCGGUGACAAACCGGAGGAAGGUGGGGAUGACGUCAAAUCAUCAUGCCCCUUAUGAUUUGGGCUACACACGUGCUACAAUGGACAAUACAAAG